AAAUAUGCAUCAUUUUAUGUUUCCUAUUGACCACAGUAUCUAUUCUUAUGUACCAAUUUGUGAAACAGACACUUAAAAGUUCAUCGUUCAUCAAGAUUACCAAACCCAUAAAUUUCCUAUUUUUUUGCCAAAGAAAAAGAUACAAAUUAAUCAACAACACGCACUCCUUGAUACUAGGGGUAUGCCCAUACAAAAACUCGUGUGACUAACUGUGCACAGCACUCUGAGCACGAUCUUCGAGCGCAGCAUACAUUAAUAAAAAGUCCUUUUUAAUCCUUUUCCAAUGAAUCGGAUCAAAGAACAUGUAAUAACCACGCUCAAACUGAGGAGUGCGUUGCAACGGUUUCAUUCCAGGGACCGGUGUUAACCAAACACGAAGUUCCUUGUGAAAUCGCCAAUUUCUGUUUGUUCUGUUUACGUUAGAUGGAAUAUAAAAAACAAUUAAAAAGUAAAGUUGGAAAACACAUACAAUUCUUGAGCAGCAGCUUCUUGCAUAACGUCUCGAGGCAUUGUGUAAAAUAUAUAAAAUAAAGUUUCAUCAGAAAAUUGAAAAAUUUUAGAAAUGGCUGGAGGUGGAUUAACGUUUUUGUAACAUGCAGGUAAUUUGAACAUGGGCUGGGAGACUGGUUUUUUUGUAUUGAGUUCAGCCCAUGGUGAAAAGAGAUUUGUCGAAAUAAGCCGGUCCUCCCUAAAAAAGGUUAGUAACCACAAUCAAAUUAGAAAUUCAAGUUUCAACAACGCCUUAGAAAAACAUACUCUACAGGAGCCAAGUCGAAACCCAAGGCAGCCAAAUCACAUCCUAACUGCAACGUCGACAUUUCACUAUCCUCCAUACGAAUUAUGGGUAACAGGGAUUCCAACAUGUACUGUUUUGCAUUUUCAUCAGCUGGCGUCUCAGUCAACUCUUCUGUGGAUCCAGUUUUUGAGUUUGUGGUAUCAGAUUUUUCAGCCUGAGAACUAGGAGUAGAUUUUCCAGUAAUAACUCCUAAUAGCUUACUUUUGUGAUUAUUGAAAUCAGAAAAAUCAUUUCCGGGGAAGAGCGGAUUUGCAGUAGUGGAUUGUUCAGGAGUUUUCUGCUCUUUCGUGGUCUGCAAUUCAUUAACAACCGUAGCAGCUGAGUUCUCUAAUGAAUGUGAUGUAGAAGACCAGGGGUCUUAUAAAUAUAAAUGUUAAUGCUCU